CCUGAAGAGCAUAAAGACUUUUUCAAAUAAAAAUAUUUGUAUCCCUUCAAUCUGCUUUGUAAUCAUCAAAAUCAAUCUAGGAGCAACAAUCUCCCCCUUUUUGAUGAUGACAAAACACUUGAACAAAAGUAUUUAUGUGAAUGCAUUAUAGGUUUAUAUGCUUGAAAAGAGUAUGAUUCUUUUGGCAUGUGAUAUAAAUGGUCAUAUGCAAAAAUAGUUUG
rnacentral:lncRNA from 1 species